ACGGGAGGCAGCAGUGGGGAAUAUUAGGCAAUGGGGGCAACCCUGACCUAGCAACGCCGCGUGAAGGAAGAAGGCCUUCGGGUUGUAAACUUCUUUAUGAGGGACGAAGGAAGUGACGGUACCUCAUGAAUAAGCCACGGCUAACUACGUGCCAGCAGCCGCGGUAAUACGUAGGUGGCAAGCGUUAUCCGGAUUUACUGGGUGUAAAGGGAGCGUAGACGGCUAUGCAAGUCUGAUGUGAAAGCCCGGGGCUCAACCCCGGCACUGCAUUGGAAACCGUAGAGCUAGAGUGCAGGAGAGGUAAGUGGAAUUCCUAGUGUAGCGGUGAAAUGCGUAGAUAUUAGGAGGAACACCAGUGGCGAAGGCGGCUUACUGGACUGUAACUGACGUUGAGGCUCGAAAGCGUGGGGAGCAAACAGGAUUAGAUACCCUGGUA
rnacentral:rRNA from 1 species